GCACUGCUGAAGAGACUCAUAAUAGGACGAAACGGCCGUCCAGUGC
rfam:Schistosoma mansoni, Puerto Rico, WGS project CABG01000000 data, contig: 0105